CAGGGGUGGAGGUGAGGCUGACAGGUCUAGAGGGGCACCACCUCUGGUAGGCUCACUAACCAGCUGAGUCAGGAAGAUGUCUUCCACACACUCCGGGAACCUUCUAGACUGCUUCCUCAGGGCUGUAUUGUAUUUACAGCUUAUGUCUGGGAAGUUAAAGUCCUCCAUGAGAAAAAGUGCUGGCGAUUGAGUGACUCCUGCCAGCUGCUUAUAGAAUGCCUCAUCUGUCUCUUCAUCCUGGGUUGGCGGUCUAUAACACCAGGAUGCCUGCCAGUUGGCUAACCCCCUGAUCCUUAUCCACAGGGACUCUAC